rnacentral:rRNA from 1 species
AGAGCAUAAGGUGAAUGCCUUGGCAUCAGGAGCCGAAGAAGGACGUGACAAGCUGCGAAAAGCUGCGGGGAGCUGCAAAUAAGCAUUGAUCCGCAGAUAUCCGAAUGAGGGAACUCCCAUGAUGAAGAAUCAUGGAACGUGCAAUGAAUCCAUAGUUGCACGUGGGGAACCCGGGGAACUGAAACAUCUAAGUACCCGGAGGAAGAGAAAUCAAACGAGAUUCUGCGAGUAGUGGCGAGCGAAAGCGGAAGAGGCUAAACCGUAUGUAGAAAUACAUACGGGGUAUGGACUGCAAAAAGUGACUGUGGCGCAUAGCGGAACGGCGUGGGAAAGCCGACCGAAGAAAGUGAGAGUCUUGUAUGCGAAAUGCAAAGCAGAGCGAGCAGUAUCCGAAGUAUCAGCGGACACGAGGAAUCCGGUGAGAAGACGGGGGGACCACCCUCCAAGCCUAAAUACUACCUGAUGACCGAUAGAGAAGCAGUACUGUGAAGGAAAGGUGAAAAGAACCCCGGGAGGGGAGUGAAAGAGAACCUGAAACCUUAUGUUUACAAGCACACAAAGCACGUUAAGGUGCGAUGUGGUACUUUUUGUAGAACGGUCCGGCGAGUUAUAGUAUGCAGCGAGGUUAAGUGAUUCAGUCACGGAGCCGAAGGGAAACCGAGUGUGAAGAGCACGGUAGUUGUAUGUUAUAGACCCGAAACCGGGUGACCUAUCCAUGAGCAGGUUGAAGUUGAGGUAAAACUCAAUGGAGGACCGAACCGACCCCCGUUGAAAAGUUGGCGGAUGACUUGUGGAUAGCGGAGAAAUUCCAAUCGAACCCGGAUAUAGCUGGUUCUCCCCGAAAUAGCUUUAGGGCUAGCCUUGGAUAUAUUUACCGGAGGUAAAGCACUGAAUAAAGGAGGGGCCGAGAGGUUACCGAAUUUUAUCAAACUAAGAAUGCCGGUUAAAUGAGUCCAGGAGUCAGACUACGUGAGAUAAGUCUCGUGGUCGAAAGGGAAACAGCCCAGACCUGCAGCUAAGGUCCCAAAUAUACGCUAAGUGGAAAAGGAUGUGACAAUGCUAAGACAACUAGGACGUUGGCUUAGAAGCAGCCACUCAUUCAAAGAGUGCGUAAUAGCUCACUAGUCGAGUGAUGUUGCGCCGAAGAUUCAACGGGGCUAAGCGUAUAACCGAAGCUCAGGAUACCUUUGGGUAUGGUAGGGGAGCGUUGUGUACAGGGAGAAGCGAUACCGGAAGGAGUCGUGGACAGUACAGAAGUGAGAAUGCCGGAAUGAGUAGCGAGAAUUGCGUGAGAAUCGUAAUGGCCGAAAAUCUAAGGUUUCCGGGGGUAGGUUCGUCCGCCCCGGGUAAGCCGGGAGCUAAGGCGAGGCCGAAAGGCGUAGUCGAUGCACAUACGGUAGAGAUUCCGUAGCCGCUGAAGAACUUAAGUAUGCUGACACGAAUGCAGAGUUUAUCCCGACGGAUGGUAGAGUCGGGCGUAAGGGACUGAAAUUAUAGUAAGGAAGUAAACGAAGCAGGCGGCGAGAAAAGGCAUACGGUAUGUUCAAAGCGCCCGUACCGCAAACCGACACAGGUAGAUGAGGAGAGAAUCCUAAGGCCAACGGGAGAAGGGUUGUUAAGGAACUCGGCAUAUUGACCCCGUAACUUCGGAAGAAGGGGUGCCUCCGCAAGGAGGCCGCAGUGAAAAGGCCCAGGCGACUGUUUAACAAAAACACAGGUCUCUGCAAAACCGAAAGGUGAAGUAUAGGGGCUGACGCCUGCCCGGUGCUGGAAGGUCAAGGGGAUUGCUUAGCGCAAGCGAAGGCAAGAACUUAAGCCCCAGUAAACGGCGGCCGUAACUAUAACGGUCCUAAGGUAGCGAAAUUCCUUGUCAGGUAAGUUCUGACCCGCACGAAAGGCGUAACGAUCUGGGCACUGUCUCAACAGCCCGCCCGGCGAAAUUGUAGUACCGGUGAAGAUGCCGGUUACCCGCGACUAGACGGAAAGACCCCAUGGAGCUUUACUGUAGUUUGAUACUGAAAUUUGAUUCAUUAUGUACAGGAUAGGUGGGAGACAGGGAAGCAAUCUCGUCAGGGGUUGUGGAGUCGACCUUGGGAUACCACUCUUGAUGAAUCAGAUUUCUAACCUGCUCCCGUGAAUCCGGGAGGGGGACAAUGUCAGAUGGGCAGUUUGACUGGGGCGGUCGCCUCCAAAAGAGUAACGGAGGCGUACAAAGGUCGGCUCAGUGCGGACGGAAAUCGCACAAUGAGUAUAAACGUAGAAGCCGGCCUAACUGCGAGACCUACAAGUCGAGCAGUAACGAAAGUUGGUGUUAGUGAUCAGGUGGUAGUGUGUGGAAAUGCCAUCGCUUAACGGAUAAAAGCUACCCUGGGG